rnacentral:rRNA from 1 species
CUGCUGCCUUCCGUAGGAGUUUGGGCCGUGUCUCAGUCCCAAUGUGGCCGGUCACCCUCUCAGGUCGGCUACUGAUCGUCGGCUUGGUGGGCCGUUACCUCACCAACUACCUAAUCAGACGCGGGUCCCUCCUAUACCACUAUCGUUUUUCACUCAGCGCCAUGCGGCUCCGUGCGCUUAUGCGGUAUUAGCAGUCAUUUCUAACUGUUAUCCCCCUGUAUAGGGCAGGUUCCCCACGCGUUACUCACCCGUCCGCCGCU